AGUGAACGCUGGCGGUGGGCCUAACACAUGCAAGUCGAACGGCAGCACAGUAAGAGCUUGCUCUUACGGGUGGCGAGUGGCGGACGGGUGAGGAAUACAUCGGAAUCUACUUUUUCGUGGGGGAUAACGUAGGGAAACUUACGCUAAUACCGCAUACGACCUACGGGUGAAAGCAGGGGAUCUUCGGACCUUGCGCGAUUGAAUGAGCCGAUGUCGGAUUAGCUAGUUGGCGGGGUAAAGGCCCACCAAGGCGACGAUCCGUAGCUGGUCUGAGAGGAUGAUCAGCCACACUGGAACUGAGACACGGCCCAGACACCUACGGGAGGCAGCAGUGGGGAAUAUUGGACAAUGGGCGCAAGCCUGAUCCAGCCAUACCGCGUGGGUGAAGAAGGCCUUCGGGUUGUAAAGCCCUUUUGUUGGGAAAGAAAAGCAGCAGGUUAAUACCCCGCUGUUCGGACGGUACCCAAAGAAUAAGCACCGGCUAACUUCGU
rnacentral:rRNA from 1 species